rnacentral:rRNA from 1 species
AUUGAACGCUGGCGGCAGGCCUAACACAUGCAAGUCGAACGAGUGGCGGACGGGUGAGUAAUGUCUGGGAAACUGCCCGAUGGAGGGGGAUAACUACUGGAAACGGUAGCUAAUACCGCAUACCAUCGGAUGUGCCCAGCUGGGAUUAGCUAGUAGGUGGGGUAACGGCUCACCUAGGCGACGAUCCCUAGCGGGUUUGAGAGGAUGACCAGCCACACUGGAACUGAGACACGGUCCCGACUCCUACGGGAGGCCGCAGUGGGGAAUAUGGCACAAUGGGCGCAAGCCUGAUGCAGCCAUGCGGCGUGUAUGAAGAAGGCCUUCGGGUUGUAAAGUACUUUCAGCGGGGAGGCGUUACCCGCAGAAGAAGCACCGGCUAACUCCGUGCCAGCAGCCGCGGUAAUUC